GCUGAUUUCAGACAGGAAAAUUGCCCCCCCAGGAGGGACUCUGUGCCUGCUCUCCCGUGGCUCCAAGGGAUCUCUGGCCCUUCACGCCGGCACCGAGAUUUUCUCGGGAAGGGCCUCAGAUCCCCGGACCAGUCUGGGACACAGGCAAGAUCCCCCUGCAUUUUAGGACCAAAUUGGCCCCCUGGAGGGACAGUGCUGUUGGUGCCCCCCGGGUUGGGGCACCCCGAGGACUCCAGCGCGCACCGAAAGGAUUAUUCGGGGAGAUCCUCGGGGUGCCCGGCCCUGGGGAGCUCAAAGCAAGGUCCCUGCAAUGGAUUCAGGCAUUGCUGAGAGUAUCCCAGGGGUACCUGUCCCUGCUAGACAUGGAGCUCUCUAAUGGGCUGUAAUUGGGUGAUAAAAGUGGUGCUCCAAGUGCCAAAGCAGUGUGGGAUUGGGAUUAAGAAAUGAGCAGUGAUGGUCCAAUUGGCUGUUUUCUCUUGAAUAUAAGGAUAAGAGCUGCAGGAGUGCCAGGUGUGUGUUCCAGUCCCCAGCAUUUGGUUUGCACAUGUCCUGGUCAGACACAGGUCCAACUUCCUCAGUCCUUAACCCAACAGAAGGAGAAUGAAGGACUGGCAGUGUUAAAGUGAUUGGUGUGACAGGGGUUAAACUGGGAAAACAUUGGGGAAUUCCAGAGUUUGUCUGUUUGCCAAACUCACCCAAACCUGUGCUAGGAAGAGAUUGAGUGGAAAAGUUGAGGCAGAAAUGAAAUGGAAAACUGGGGAUAUUGAAACUGUAAUUGCUGAAACUAAAUGUGUCCAAGCAGCAGCUCUUGUUGUGCAGGGAAUAACUCCUGUCAGCAGCAAGGUCCCGACUGAAGUGGCAGCUGCAGUUGUUCCUGUGGUGUGGGCCAGUGGAAUUGCAGGAGAGUGGAAGAGGGCAGAACCUGUAGGAUGUGAAUGCAAGAACCUGCCAAGGAACCAAUGACCAAGAUGAUUGAUCAGUGCAGGAUCUGAGAGAAGCACCUUGAAUGACAACCUCGAGCAGUUUCCAGUAUUGGAUUGAAAAGAUGGCCUUUGCUGCAUCUCCUUGAGCAAGGAAAGCCAAGAAACCCAUGAUUUGGAAGGAGAAAACCUGGAAAGGAGGAAGGAAGAAAAGAAGCUCCCUGACUCCUCCUGAGCCCCAGACAGCCCAUGAACUGCCUUGCUGGGAAUGGUGGGACGGGGUGGACUCUGGAUUGCUCCCUCUGGAUGUGUGGAACUCCAGGAACUCCUGGUGCCGCCUGGGCCGAUGGAUUGGACGCCCCAGCCCCUCCGUUCCUGCCCAGCCACUGGGUCCGUGUCCAGUGGUGGCACUGCCAGCCCUGCAGUGGGAUGUAGCCUGGAAAGUGCACAGAGCUGAGCCAAGGGAUUGAAAGGGACCAAGCAAGGGAGGUGAAGAAAGAAGGAAGAAGGGAACUGAGGCAUGAGCCAAGCAGCAGCAAGUUGCUGUGUAAGCAGAAGUUGCCCUUGAUGAACUUCCCAUCUGAGCUGAUGCCCUUGGCAGGAGAAGUGCUCAGCAAGGAGGCUCUUUGCUCCUAGGCAGGAAGAAAGAGGGAUAAUAACUCCUGUCAGCAGCAAGGUCCCGACUGAAGUGGCAGCUGCAGUUGUUCCUGUCGUGUGGGCCAGUGGAAUUCCAAGAAAAUGGACAAGGACAGAAGCUGUAAGAAUUACCCCUAAGGCAGAGUCUCUCCUGGCAGAAGAGCCCAGGCCUGAGCUGGCUGAGUGUUGGUGUGAGCCAGAGUGGGUGUCCCUGCCCUCGGGCCAGUCCCCAGAGCUGCCUUUGGCAUCCCCUGCUGAAGGGUGGGAGCUGCCCAGAGCCAGCAGCAUCCAGCUGGAGGAUCCAGGAGGAUGCAGCUCUGCUUUGCUGGGAGCUUGUCCAGGAGAUGGAAUUCCAGUGCUACAGUCUGGGUGGGUCAUGGUGCUCCCAAAAGGAGCCUUUGUGCCUUCAGGACAAGUUUUGGUGCCACUGGAGCUGCUGGGAGAAGCAUAGGGUUGGCAGUGAGAGGCCUGGAAUGAUGUUGCUGUGGCACAGAAGAAAUGAGCAGUGAUGGUACAAUUGACUAUUUUGUCUUGAAUGUAAUGGACGUGAAUGCAAGAACCUGCCAAGAAAACCAAUGGCCAAGAUGAUUGAUGAGUGCAGGACCUGAGAGAACC